AUCCUUCACACUGGAACCAUUGCCUGCUUGGUCUGCAGGAUUGUUGCCAUGAAGAUGGCUGUGGUCUGGGUGGCUAGGGGCUGUGCACUGCAGCCCAAAGGCAUCAUCACUUUCCCCCCUCCUCCUUCCCAAAGGCUGGGCAGUAAAACAGGAGCAGGCUCGUAGGAGGCCAUUAACCACCAGAAAGACUGCGUUAGAGCAAACGACUGCAGACUCUUUCCCACAACCAGUAAACUGAGUUCCGUGGACCAGCACUGAGGAGCAGUGACUAUUGAGCAGUAAAGCUAUGCCAUUUUGGAAUAAAAAUUUUUAUCAAUUUUA